UUUUUUUUUUUUUUUUUUUUUGCCACGAAGGGAGGAUCCCUCGUUACAACAUACACGGUGGACACUCAAUUUGAAGAAGGUGCAACCGCAAACUCCCACGAGAGCCAUAAUAUGGCUUGAGGAGUAUAUGAAGGAGGUAGACCACUUAAUUUGAAGAAGGUGCAACCCAAACUCCCACGAGAGCCAUAUUAUGGCUUGAGGAGUACAUGAAGACGGUGCGACCAAGAUUUGAAGAAGGUGCAACCGCAAACUCCCACGAGAGCCAUAUUAUGGCUUGAGGAGUACAUGAAGACGGUGCGACCAAAAUUUGAAGAAGGUGCAACCGCAAACUCCCACGAGAGCUAUAUUAUGGCUUGAGGAGUACAUGAAAAAGGUGCAACCAAGAAAUUUGAAGGAGGUGCAACCGCAAACUCCCACGAGAGCUAUAUUAUGGCUUGAGGAGUACCAAGGAGAUGGCGCAACCAAAAUUUGAAAAUGGCGCAACCGCAAACUCCCACGAGAGCCAUAUUAUGGCUUGAGGAGUACCAAGGAGAUGCAAUUACCCACUUCAAUAAAACUCACCCAAAAUUCAAGAAGUCUUUUACUACUUUCAAUCCUGCUAUUUUAACCAAACUUUCUUUUUCCUUCCUUUUGCUGCAGGUUAGUCUUGAUGCAAUGGUGGUGUUCAAGGAAGUCGCUUCUUCAAACGAAAAGUAUCUCCUUAUCACUGACAGCGAUGGUGACUCUGGUGACAAAGGAACGAAAUUAUUGGUGCAUUCCCCUAUACAAGGAAGUUACUCGGGUAAGUGGCCUUCUCACCAGUACCCAGAGUUGAAGGAUUGGUCAUUCGAACUUCCUCAAGAUGAUGGCACGAAGGUUCACUCCUUGAAAUCCCUUAUUCACGAUAAGGAACCAAGGACAACUCUUUUUCAAACCCUUGGCAGGCGGAUCAUGGAUGGAGAUGCACACUGGGGUCCUUCCUUGAGACUCAGUGGUGCAUUCAGUUACAUCGAGAAUUACUGGGAGUGGUUGGAGGAUAUCCUCGGCAGGAGCAAACAAGUGCUCCGUGAAAAUUGCUUGUUCGAUGCCUUAUAUGCUUCGCUUUUCACAUAUGACAGGAAUCCCCAUGUACUUAGAGCAUUCUGCGAGGCAUGGUGUCCAGAUACUAAUACCUUGCAUACAUCUGUUGGAGAACUGUCUCUCUCACUUUGGGACUUGCACAAGUUAGGGGGACUUCCAAUCAUCGGGGGUAUUUAUGAAGAGGUAAUCCCAUGCGCGGAGGAGCUAACUGGGGUUAAUGAAAAGAAAUUAAGGCAUAUUCCACAAAGUUGUGAGUAUCUGUUCGCAGCCUUACAUCAUCUCCAACGUGGGGAAUCCAACAAAGCUGGAGUUUCUGCUGACCAAUGGAUUAAUUUCUGGUUUAAAGGCAAAACCAGGUACUCAAAGCCAAAGCAGAGAAGGAUAAAGAGGGCAUCUCGUGCUCAAGCAACCCAAAAUCCGGAUGGCGAAAUUGGACACUCGCGCAAAUUUUCAAGUCAAGACAAUGGUGUAUUUAAUACCAUCGGAGUUAAACUUCAUUUGCGGGAAGAGAGUUAUCUUGCAGCAUUUAUAUCUUGCUGGCUCUGUGUCUUUGUUUUACCAGAUGAGGACCCCCAUUAUAUUAGACCAUCUACUUUCAAAAUGGCUAGUAUGAUGGCUGCCGGUCGUAAGACUUGCCUUGCUGUUCCUGUCCUGCUAAACAUAUACCGUGGGCUUGAUAAAAUUUCAAAUUCAGCUACCCCAGGGUGUGCACGUGCGGCUUUUCCGGUGCACUACGUAUAUGCUUGGUUAGCGAGUUAUUUCUCUACCCAUUAUUUGACUCCAAAUACCAUGCCUGGACCCACCAUGACCAACUAUUCUGGAGAGGGUGGCGCACGAUACUUUGAUGAAAAUAGUGCUCGCGACCUCAUUCAUCAGGGUGAUAAAGUAACUUGGGGAAUCACUUCUCUUGUGAAGAAUCGUAAUGAACUCUUUAUUGACGAUGGCAAACUAGCAAAUCUCGAACUAAGUUAUUUUGUAAGCGCCUGCUCAAAUUACUUAGUUUUGCAUGCUGAAGGGGAUUUCCUUGUUGAGCCAUAUAGUCCAUAUAGAUUCGCGCGGCAAUUCGGGUUUUAUCAAGUUCCUCCACAGGAACUCGGGGCAGAUGUGCGUUCCACAAAUUAUGACUUGAGUCGAAUACUCUGGCGCACUGCCAUUCGUAGUAAAACAGAGUCAAAGAUACUUUUUCCUAGCUAUCCCUUGAAUGCUAGCAAGCACACAUCUUCAGACUUUCAAACAUGGUGGUCUGCGGUACAUGAUGAUUACCUCCUCAAAGGGCGUGAUACUUUGAUUAAGAGUGUCCAAUCAAGUGGGGAGCAGAAGAGGUCAAAAGGGAAGGAACUUGCAAACCUGAACAAUCUCUCCAAAGUUGAUAACAGUCUUGAGAUGAAGCAAAAGACUGUGAGAAAAGAGAAGGAAGUUUUGAAGAGUUCAAACAACAAGGUUGCUACCCUUGAGGACCUUACCCCUAAUGAACAAUUUUCGAAGGGUACUUCAGUUCGUCUUCCCUCAAAAAUUGUGAAAGCCAUUGAUCAUGAUUCUUGCAAUUCACAUGAGAAGAAGAGGAGCGAGCCUUUUGAUGAGGAGGAUGAGCAAUCCACUAGCACGGACCAGCAUUGGAAGCGCAAGAAGUCCAAGGUAAUGACUUUCCCUUUGGAUGAUAUUGGUUUAGAUCCUAAGGAACUCUUUAAAGACAUUCCGGAUAUAUCUGUGCCUGGUAUAAGCCGUGUCAAUAUUGUAAGGACCCCCUUGCCUUCUUUAAUUUAGCAUUUGAAAUCUACUUGUCAAUUUCAUAUUCAUGAUUUGUCUCAUAACGUUUUCCUUACAGUUGGAUGAUCAAGACUUUAUCUUCAUUGAUGAUGGAGAACCAAGUCAAGUAUCAGUUGAAGGACCUACUGCAUUUGAACUUUUGGCCAAACAAGUGAUCAGUUCUACCCAACAAAUGGGUGCUAGCGAGAAUUCCAAAAAGGCAGUAGAUGAUGAAAAUGUGACUCAGCAAAUCAUGGCACAGAAGGCGGAGCACAUGACUCCAUCGGCCAAAAGGAAACUCAAAGUCUUUGAUCCACCAUCGUGGCCAAGGGCACCUCGAGUAUCUGAAUUUUGCCCCCAAAAUGUGAUCUCAACAUGCCGUCGAGACUACAUCCAAAUGUUGUGGAAUAAUUUGAGGGUGAUGAUAUCUCAAACAGCCUUGGAGCGCAUGCCAGCUCUUGAAAUAAAAGCCAACGAGAUCAUAGAGGAAAUGCAAAGCUUCAAUGCCACGAAUAUCUCAAAUUUGCAAGGCCUUUUAAAGGCUUUCUUUGCAAAUACAGCUCGUUACGUUGCAGUGAAAUCUUCUCUCUCAAAUAAAAUUCCAGUCGAAUCAUAUGAUGAGUUGCUUUCUACGGCCACCCAACAUCUUAGAGAUGCUCAGAGUAAGGAGAGACAACAGGCGGAGAAGAUCUCAACACACAUGUUGAAGCUUAAGGAACUCGAUCGCGAGGAAGUAGAGUUGAGGAAUCGACUUGAGUUCUUGGGUGCUCACAGGAAGGAGAUGCUUUCACUGUUACGAGAAGAGCAAGAUGAUCUUACCCGAGUGCAAGGCGUGAUGGUCGACUUACAAAACGAAGUUCGAAAGAUUGAGAAUUCCCCGCCCCUACUUGCUGAGGAGAGUCAAACUUUGGACAAGAUGCAAGCGUUACUUGAAAGCAACCGAAAGGAGCUGUCGUCAUUUGAAUUCUAGGAAUAGUUGCAAUUUUUUUUACUUUGUUUCAAAUUUCAUCUUUUGUUACCUGCUCAAAGCGUGUAGUUAUGAGUACAAACAUUUCAUAAUGAAGCUUGCUCUCUCUUUUUCACAUUCUUGCAGACGACCUCGUCUUUACUUGCUUUUUCGAUAGCCACCAUUUUAGACUAUCAACCGUAGUAUGAACAAUUCUAUCUUUGCAUAAUUUUGAUCACACUUGAAAAGGUAAUUAUCCAAAUAAUUUAGUAAUCUGAAUAAUACACUUUCAAGUAUAUGUCACAAAAUAAUUCGAACUGUCUUAAAGAGAACCGCUCUUUUUUUUUUUUUUAACAAAAGAAUCAUCCGGACAAAGGAUUUAGUUUUAUAUGAUUGUAACUGAACUUAGAAGUUGCCCUCUAAACUGCCUACGUAUCCCAACAGGGAAUCAAGUCACACGUAGUUCCUACCAUUCACAGUUUAAACUCUUGCGGGUCAGGAGUAUCCUUUUGUUUACCACCUUAGAUUUGGUGGAGUGUUUCAGCAGUUUAACCACGUGCUACACUAUUGGUGGUUGUUGUCCACAGUUUUAGCUCAUGCGGGUUUGGAGCAACAUGCAGUUUAGACUCAUGCGUCAUGGAGUACUUCACUUUUUUUUUUUUUUAUGGCAUGUAUAGCUUCACGAAUUUUCCAUUUAUAGGACCAACUUUCACGCCAUCUUUGUCCACCAAUUUGUACGCACCAUUCGUGUAGACUUCUCGAACAAUGUACGGCCCAUCCCAUUUAGAGGCGAAUUUGUCUUUAGUGCGAUGAGUCAUAACUAUUGGUCUUCGAACGGCAAGUACCAUGUCCCCGACUUGAAAGGAGCGACGUCGAACUUUCUUAUUAAAAGCUCUAGAGAGACGGGCUUGAUAGCACUCCAGAUUUUGUUGGGCCUCCAAUCUCUUUUCAUCCAAAGCUUCCAAUUCUUCAAGGCGCAGGCGAACAUUUUCUUCCUCCGUGAGCCCUUCUUGGAUAGCAAUUCUCAAAGAAGGAAUUUGUUGCUCAAGGGGGAGAACAACUUCUACACCAUAGACCAAGGCAUAUGGUGUGGCUUGCGUCGGAGUUCGGUAUGUGGUGCGAUAGGCCCAAAGAGUUUCGCCUAUCCUUUCGUGCCAAUCCUUCUUUGACUUUGCCACUACUUUCUUCAACAAGUUACAUAAAGUUUUGUUGAAUGCCUCUGCGAGACCAUUGGCGGGGGCAUUAUACAUGGAGGACUUGCGUUGCUUGAGAUUAAAUUUCUCACAUAACUUAUCCAUCAAGCCAUUGGAGAAGGAUUUUCCAUUAUCAGUGAUAAUGUACCGGGGAACUCCAUAACGGUAAAUAAUAUUCACACGAAUAAAAUUCACCACAUCUUCCUUUCUAACUUGCUUGAGCGGUAUGGCUUCAGCCCACUUAGAAAAGUAGUCGGUCGCAGCCAAUAUAUAUAAGUGUUGAUCGGAUGACUUUGGUAAUGGCCCCACAACAUCAAGGCCCCAAGCAUCAAAAGGCCAAGAAGCAACGGUCGGGUGUAACGGCUCAGGUGGUUGAUGAAUGUAAUUUGCAUGAAACUGGCAAGCUUGACAUCUUUGAGCAUAUUCUAUGCAAUCUUUGACCAUAGUAGACCAAUAGUAGCCCAUCCUUUUAAUCCGAAAAUGUAACUUGGGACCGGAUUGAUGUGCUCCACAUAUUCCAGAAUGUGCUUCGUGCAUCGCCCGAUAUGCCUCGUCUUCGUUUAGACAGCGCAACAGUACACCUUCAAAUGAUCUUCGGUACAGCGUAUCCUUGUACAAGAUAAAACGAGGGGCUCGACGACGGAUGUCAAUUCUUCUACGUUGCUCCUCAGGUAAUUUUUGAUACUUGAGAUAAUCAACGAGGGGUUGUCUCCAAUCUUCUUUGUCAAUUUCAUAGGUUGAGACCACAUGAGCGUCGCCUCCUUCAAUAUUUUCAUCAUCAAUCAGUGAUGGAACUACCCACUUUCGGCACACACGGACUUGUAUCUCAUGAUCCGGCAUGGUAAGUGAAGAGGCUAGCGCAGCUAAUGCAUCAGCUUGCUUAUUUUCCCUUCUAGGAACAUGCUUAAUACUUGCACCUCCAAGCCGCCUCAUUAGUUGCGUUGCAUAUUUGUGAUACGGAAUUAACUCGGACUUUUUGACUUCAUAACUUCCCAAGAGUUGGUUAACCACUAAUUGAGAGUCACCAUAGAUUUGAAUGUCCAACUGUUCCAUAUCAACAGCUAUUUCAAGUCCGAGUAUGAGAGCUUGGUACUCAGCGACAUUGUUUGAACAAUGAUGACUUAGAGUAAAAGAGUAUAGCAAUAUCCCUCCAUCAGGAGUUACGAAUACAAUCCCUGCUCCAGCUCCAUGACGAUGAGCCGCACCAUCAAAAUACAUCUUCAAUGGUGGACGAAUCUCGAUAAGGAGUACAUCCUCAUCCGGUAAGUCAUCACUUAGUUCCCAUUCAGCAGGUAUCGGGUGAUCAGCAAGAAAAUCUGCCAGAACUUGUCCCUUCACAACUUUUUGAGGCACAUAAAUAAUUUCAAACUGUUGUAGUUGAAGAUACCAUCUAGCUAGACGGUCGGACAGCACUGGUCUGCUCAUCACAUAUUUUAUGGGAUUCGCCCUGGAAAUGAGCCUCACACUAUGCGCUUGAAAGUAGUGCUUUAACUUCUGUAUUGCAAAAAUAAGGGCUAAGCACAACUUUUCAAUUGGCGAGUAAUUUAGUUCGUUGGGGGUCAUCAUUCUGCUUAAAUAAUAAAGGGCAACCUCCUUUCCUUCAUUAUUUUCUUGAGCGAGCAAUGCCCCCAUCGAUCGUUCUUGGGCAGCAAUAUAAAGGAGUAGUGGCUUUCCAUGAAUAGGUGCAGCCAACACAGGUGCUUUCAUAAGAUAAGACUUAAUGCUAUUGAAUGCAUUACUACAUGCCUCAUCCCAUUGAAAUGGCACAUCUUUCUUCAUCAAGCGACUAAAUGGUUGACACCUUCCUGCUAAAUUUGAGAUAAAUCUCCGCAGAUAAGCUAAUCGCCCUUGAAGACUUUUCAAUUCAUGAAUGUCACGAGGUUCAGGCAUCCUCAAUAUAGCAUCAAUUUUGGCCUGAUCAAUUUCAAUGCCUCGAUGGCGAACCACAAAACCAAGAAAUUUCCCCGACGUGACUCCAAAUGCACACUUGAGAGGGUUCAUUUUGAGUUGAUACCUUCUCAACCGAUCGAAAACUUGUCUCAAAUCCUCCAAGUGAUUAUUUCUUUUCUUUGAUUUCACAACUAAAUCAUCCACAUAACACUCGAUAUUCUUAUGAAGCAUGUCGUCAAAGAUACUUUGCAUUGCUCUUUGAUAUGUGGCACCAGCAUUUUUGAGACCAAAGGGCAUCACUUUAUAACAAUAAAUACCCUUAGGAGUACGAAAUGCAGUGAGCUCCUCAUCCUCUGGUGCCAAUCGAAUUUGAUUAUAUCCAGAAGAGUCAUCCAUAAACGACAGAACUUCAUGCCCAGUAGUUGCAUCAAUCAUGAGUAUAGUGAUUGGUAAAGGGAAGUCAUCUUUGGGACAAGCAUUGUUAACAUCCCUGAAAUCGACACAAAUGCGGAUUUAUCCAUUCUUCUUUCGCACAGGCACGAUACUCGAAAUCCAUGUGGGAUAUUUAACUUCAUGAAUAAACCCGGCUUCAAUGAGUUUAUUGACUUCAAUUUCGAUCAACGGAAUCAAAUCGGGUCUAAAUCGCCGUUGUGCUUGCUUCACAGGUCGAACUCCCUUUUUAACAGCCAAAUGGUGGACGGCCACUUUUGGGUUUAAACCCGACAUUUCUUUAUAAGUCCAUGCAAAAAUAUCUUGAUACUCCCACAAGAGUUCAAUAUAUGCCUUCUCUUCGUCAGGACUCAAUGAAGCACUUACAUAUAUUGGACGUGGGUUCUCUGAAGUACCAAGAUUGACCUCCUUUAGAUCAUCCACAGUGGCCUUAACACCUUCCUCCAAUUCAGGUGGAGCCUCUUCAGCAUCUUCUUCUUCUUCAGGCGAGUCACCGUCAAUUAUAGUUAUAUGAUUGCAUGAAGCAACACUCUCUUCAUCAUUCUCUUUUGGUCUUGUGUACACCACGGUAUGCUCCCUGACCCUCAAUUCAGUCCCACACUUUAUUACAAGAUCUGUGCAUCUUCUCAUUCUCGAAGGAAUGCUACUACCAAAUUUAUGAGAACCAUUAGAAGGUUUUUCAAGAUUUUGCAAUGACUUUGCCAUUUUUCCUUUACUCUUAUGAGAGUUUUGAGGCUUUUGUCUUCUUUGUGGUCCUAAUCUCUUAAAAACAGAUACCCAUGGAGUUUUAUUCUCCUUUUCAUGAAAAGCUUGAAAUUUACCAACUAUUUGAGAAGACUCAUCCUCCACAGCAAUAUAUUGGCUACUAACUCUAUUGAUCUUGAUACGGAUUGGUGUAGGAGAGGAGUAGCCAAGGCCAAAUUUGGGAUUUUCAACAGCGUAUCCCUUUUCCUUCAACAUCUUUUGGGUAGAAUUCAACCCAUGAAUCAUGUCACUCGUAGAUUGACGAGAUGGAACAUUUAACACCGCAGAUUCUUUGAGAUCGUAUCCAGCCUUAGCGAGAAGCUUAUAAGCGAUAGGAUCAAAACCUUCAACGGUUCUUGACUUUGGUAUGGUGUCUUGUUCAACUUCAGAUUCUUUGCUUAAAAGAUUAGCCCUUUUAAGUUGAGAAGAUGACGCCUUUUUUAUAUCAAGAUGAACUAUCGGAAGAGUCAAAUCUUUUAGAGUUUCAUGCUGAAUUGCAGGUGACUGUCCCUGUUCCAUUCUUGAUUUGGGAGGGCAACGAAAGACAACUGAUUCAUUGUGUGGCAAUGAAACAUCAGUUUCUUCACGAACUUCCUCCUUUGAUUUCAAAAUCAUCACUUUCUCCCCUUUUGCAUUUGGAGAUUCGGGGUUCUGGAUUUUAUCCCCAGAUAGAGGUUGCUCAGAUUUAUCCUUCGCAAUGUGCCUUUUGAUGUAAAAUUUGGCAUCGGCGAUAUAUGCUUCCGCCUCAGUGAAAGGAUUAUCAUCAGCUUUCAUACUUCUUGCCAUCCCGUUUUAACAGUACUUGAAGCAUUGAUGAAGAGUUGAAGGUACAACUCCAUUUUCAUGAAUCCAGGGCCUUCCCAACAAUACAUUGUAUGUUGUUUUAGCAUCUAUCACAUAUAAUAGUGCUCUGGACAUCAUGUCAUCAAUGACUAUCUCCAAAUUUAGUGACCCAAGAGCUCUUUGCCCUCCUUGAUUGAAGCCUUGAAUCAUCAGUCGGCUAUUGGAGAGUUCAUCAACCGGGAUACCAAGCUCCUUCAGAGUUUUUAAAGGGAGAAUAUUGACUGCGGAACCUCCAUCUAUCAACAUUCUAUUCACUUUUUGCUCUUUUGCAUAACCAGUCACAAACAAAGGACGGUUAUGCGGUGUUGACCCAAGCAACAAGUCUUCACUAGUAAAAGUAAUACUUGUGACGUUCACCUCUUCAUUGCUGGUAGGCACACGACCUUCUUCAUUGCCGGUGGACGCACGGGCCAUCUCACAGAGAGAUUCGCAAGUAUUAUCUUUUUGUUCCUCGAUAUGAUCUACUCGCGUUGUAUGACUUGCGACCACAUCAACAUCAAAGAAUUCCUUUGGCAAAAAUUCUUUUAAAGUGAUAGGAGUUCGCGACUUUUGCUUGAAGAUUCGGCCUCCUCGAAGAUUAUGACAAUCAUUAGUUUUCUUUACGUCUUUCUCUUUCCCCUUCCAAAUCACCAUACUUCUUGUUAAGAUCUUGCUCGCCCUACUAGAUGGACAAGACUUCCGCCUCCUUCUUCGCGUGACUAGAGUCCAUCCUUCAUCAUCCACAUCAGACUGUAUCGCCUUUUCAUCUUCAUAUACAUGUUCCUGAAGAGUUGAAGGAGCACCUUCUUGUUUGAUUUCUAUAGGAUCAAGUGAUCGAAAUUGAAUUAUUGGCAAUACAGGCGCCAUGACCCUUUUAUCCUCCAUGGACUGCAGGGAACCAAUGGACGUUUGAUUCACACUCGCCUUGUCUUCCUCAAGGAGAAUUUUUCCCUGUCUUGCCAACUCCAUUACUUUAUCUUUGAAGACAAAGCAUUUUUGAAUGGGAUGCCCGACCAAUCGGUGAUACUUACAGUAAUUUGGAUCGUCAGUGUUCCUGGCCUCAUCAGGUCGCUUCAUCUCAAGAAGCGUGAUCAAGUUUAUACUUAACAGAUCGUCAAACAUACCAGGGACAUCAGAAUCAAGGAAAGGGUACUCCUUAUCCUGCAUCUCCUUGAGAGUUGGUUUCCUCUUUCCUUGUUCUUGAUGUGCAUUGAUCUUGCUGUCUUCUCUCCUGACAGUUUUGGGAACAACCUUAAAGGGCGUUACACUUGUAGCCAUAGCCUCCUUCUUUUCAUUUUUAAAUGGUGGCUUGCCCCCUUUCCUCGCUUCUUGUCUCUCUUUAGCCUUGUAAGGGUCAGGAACUGGCGGUUCUUGUCCAUCAAGAUUAAUCUCCAACUUAUGGGCUUUUGUGGACAAUUCAUCAAAUAUUUCUGGUUGUACACCUUGUAAGAUGUAUCUGAGUCCCCAGUGCAUGCCUUGAAUGCACAUCUCGAUCGCGGAAGAUUCAGAAAUUCGAUCUUUGCAAUUUAAGCUUAGAUUCCUCCAACGGUCGAUAAAAUCAAUGACAGGUUCACUUUUCCAUUGACGUGUAUUAGAGAGUUCAGUCAUGCUGACAGUUCUCUUUGUGCUAUAGAAGCGACUAAGGAAUUCAUGCUCUAGCUGUUCCCAACUGUCAAUGGCUCCAGACUCCAGAUCCGUGUACCAAUCGAAGGCAUUACCCUUCAGCGAGCGAACAAACUGCUUAACGAGCAAGUCACCAUCAGUGCCCGCAUUGUUACAAGUUUCCACGAAGUGUGCUAUAUGUUGCUUAGGGUUGCCCUUGCCAUCAAAUUGUUGAAAUUUUGGAGGUUGAUAUCCUACAGGCAUCUUCAAACCUUCCACUCUAGCGGUGUAAGGUUUAGUGUAACCGCUAUAUGAUUUGGCGCUUCCACCAAUCUUAUCCUUGAUUGUGCCUUCGAUAAAUUCCUUUAGAUUGUCAACAUGAAUGGUGCCAUCAGGGGAAAUUGAAAAUUCCUUCGCGGCUUGUGACUUCGCAUCCUCUUUUUCCUUUUCCCUUGAUGACGAGUCCUCUUCAUCUUGCAUUUUGAAUUUCUGUUUGGACAUACUAAGGCUAUUUUCGCCUAUAUUUUCCACCAUAUCCAUUAACUUGACUAUCUUGGCAUCUUGACUUUGCGCAUGCACUACUAGCCCUUCGACAAUUUUGGCUAGAUUCGAGAUCUGGUCUUCCACAGUUGUGGUAUUGGUCAUCAUGACGGGCAUCACCACGGAGGCAGCCGAAUCACUUGGGCUACCAAUAGAUUCAUCAUGGGCUCCUUUCUUGCUGGGAAGCAUCUCGAGAUUUGCUUCUUCAGUCACAACGUUCGCCUUAGCCUUCUCUGCUAACUUCUUGGCCUUACUCCUUGUCAGAGGUGCAGUAUACUGCGUCCCUUGAGUGGUUGAGACAUCAGCAACUAAACCUUCAAGAGAAAAGUUCACCUUCUUGAACUCCAUUGAAUUUUGGAACUGAUAAGUUGUUGGAAGAAAAGAGAUGAGAGGCAGAGAUGGUCCCACUGGGCGUGCCAGAAAUUUGUAAGCACAAAUUUUGUUGCCUAAAAUAAAAGACAAGAAAACUUGCACAAAUAUCAAAUUUAUUAAAUCAAAUAAUAAGCGGGUUACAAUCUCUGAAAGUUCUUGAAUCAAAGAAAUUAAUCCCCUGAUUCUUUUCUUCGAAUAGCUUCAAUUGAAGGGCUGAAAAGACUUGUUCUCCAAUCGAAAGGGUGUUUCCUACAAUUUCGGCGUAGAAAACGAUUGAUUUGAUGAUGGCGUCAAACACUUGGAACUUCGAGUCUUCAACACCGAUAGCAGGAGGAUUUGUUUGACUUGAUUUGGAUUUGGAUUUGAGGAAGAAAGCUCUUGAGGGAAUUUGACAGAGUUUCUCCGAAUGUUAGGGAUUUUUCUAUGUCUUUGCCUUGAGGGAAGACCUCUAUUUAUAGCCAAAAUAUGUAGGCUAGGUCUUCAAGAAAACCCUCAGAAUCUUCCUGCAUUUUGGACCACUUGUUACCCAAGAAAUCCAUUUAACUUGGGCUUAAAUAUUGGGCCAAGCCAAAUAGUCCACUGUGAAUUAAUAAAGCAAUCAAUUCACUCUAACUUAAAUGGACACUAUGAAUUUAAUUUGAUUUAAUAGCCCAUAUAAUAUUGGCCCAAUUUGCCAGUCCAAAACAUAAUGGACUUCCAUAAUUUAAUUUAAUUUAGUCAAGAUCGAUUUAAUUUAAAUAAAUCUUAACUAAAAUGAAUUAAAUAAAUUUUCUUUGUCUACAGACAGCACAUGUGCUUUAAUACUGGAUCUUCAUACAUAUUAGCACCUGCAAUUAAGUUUCAUGAUCUAUGCAAGUCCAAGAUAACAAACUAAACUAUUAAUAGCUAUCUCAUGAUCCCUUAUUUGUCAAGGACUGAAGCAGUUCCAAAGAAAGUAUCAAAGCAAUGGACCUAAUCAUUUAGCUAGCUAACAAAGAUUUAAUAAAAGUAACAUAAUUAAAGCAGUUCAGGCCUACUUGGCCUUAAGCUUCUUUGCUGGACUUAUCUUCAAUAUUCUCAGGCGGAUUGCUGUCUUCUGGACCUUCUUUAGUACACUGCUCAGAAAUAUUGGAUGGCUCUUUGGAUAGUGUUUCUACUGGUGUAGCUUCAUUUUCAGAUAGCCCUUUUGGAAAAUCAAGGCCCCUGUUUACUCCACUGCUCCCAUAUGCAUCAUCUUUCGUGGAACAAUUGCCUCCAGCAAUUUCUUCAAGCACCAACUUAGUGGUUGGUGUGAACAUUUCUUCCUUUCUUUGUUGUUUUUUGUUGAUAUCUUGGUGAGGAAGUGCCCACUGCAGAAGAAACUUCGGUGCGAUCUGGAAAUGUUACAGUAACAAAUCAUCUGCAGUGUAAGCUUUAGACACAACAGUUUUAAUCUGUCCCUGGUCUUAAAAGUGAGUCUCAUAAGCCUUGAGAAAGUAGACAAUUAUAUAUUUCUUCAAGGAACCAUUAAGUUCAGUGUCUACUUCAAAGUGCUGCAGCAAAAAUUAUUUUUUGAGUUGUAGUCAGCUGUUGUUAUCUUUUUUGUUAUGUAUGGAUAUAAAAUAGAACGUUAUCACUUACAUUUUCUUGUGCUAGUUUAUGCCGAAGUGAAGUGAAUAGAAUCAUUUUUUCUGCAUCUUCUCCAGAUAUAGUGCAAUUGAUUGAUCCCGAAUCAUCAGUUAAAAUGAUGGGAAUUCGAGCCCUCAAAUUCAACAACAGAAAGUAACAACAAUUUAAAUGCAGAAAGAGGAUUAAAUUGUAAUUAAAGAGCAUGAAUUGGUAACUUUACCUCAUAUCAACUUCACUUUGUUGCUUGCAAGAAGGACAACUGAUAAUCCAAUCAAUGUUUGCAUUCACUGUUCCUGUAUUUAGUGUAUCCAAAGGCAAGUUUCACAGUUGCUUGAAGCCAACCUAUUUUCUGCGAAUCAAGUAGAUAUGAAAGAUAUCUGAAGCAAAAAUCAUAGUUAACAGUAAAAAAGGCAAGAUCUAAUCAUACCUAAGUUUUUCAUCCUUGGCUCAAUAUGAUGAAAGAAAGAACCAACAUCUAAAGGGUUUCUCCUUUCCCUUCUCCCUUUUGUAUAUAUGGUAGGUUUUAGAAACCGUACCAUAGAUAAUUAAAAAUUGUUUCCUAAAAGAAAACAUCACUUCGUAGCAGAAAAAAGGAAGAAUUCACUGGUAAAUUCAAACCAAGUACAAUCCCUAAAAGAAGCUGAUUCUUGGGGCAAGUGCAAUCACGUGCAUGUGGAGGGUUUUUGUGGUUCUAACCAAAAGAAAGUACAAUGCUUUGUACAGAAAAUUGGUAGAACAGUAGCAUCUUUUGCAGGUUCAUAUUCGGCUAUCUGAGCGGAAGAAACAGAGAAGAAGAGAUUUUCGAUCUCUUGAAGCUACAAGAAGACUCUUUAGAAGCAUAAAAUUAAUAGUCAGGGCCGCGUGAUACCAACAAUGCAAAUGGCUUAUUAGUGAGAGGCCUAAAACUGACCCAUAUGUUUUGGUCAACCGACAAACAGUAUCAAACUAUUUGCAUCGAAACAAAAAAAUAAGAAGGAAAUAUUUUCAAACGUACAAAUAUAACCCUAAAUAAUUAGUAACUAUUCACACAACCACCAUUCACGAAAGGACGCAACUGACUUUUAACACUUAUUAAAACACAAACAAAAUUAAAAAAUAAAUAUAUUUAAUCCAUUAUUACCAAUUGACCCCUAAAUAGGAAGCUACUAUUGGAAUUAUCAAUUGUAAGACCAAGUCCCAAAUAGACAUUUACCAUUCUUUAAGAUCCAAAUAAAUAAAACAAAGUUCCUUCCUCCAAUAAGAGCUUGACACUUGCCAAUACAUGGACAACUUAAGUUGUUCUUUUAUAUAAUAGGUAGACUAGAGGUUGCACAGCCAGGGUCCUCUAGAACAUUAGUUAAAUACAUAGUAACAAAUGUUUUAGUACAUAAUGAAUAGAAACAUAGGAAAAAAAUUAAGUAUAAAAAUAAUUAAAAUUUGCUGUGAAAAGAAAUUUCAUAUAUAAAGUUAACCCCAAUUUAUUGUGAUUUGGAAAAAGAAAUUUUAACCAAUAUUAUGUGUACGUAAUGAUACCAAAAAAGAAAAGAAAGCAAAUCCAUUAUAAGUGCAUUAUCGGUUUAAUAGCAGCAUAGUUUUAGUUGUAAUUAAAUAAAGAGUAGUCAUAAUGUUUCUAACAUUUUAAUAAUUAGAAAAAAUAUAGAAAGCCACAAAAACCUGUCACUAUCUUCAACAUCAAUAAAAAAAAAAUACAAACUUGCAUAUUUUUCUUUCUUUUUUGAGAGAAAGAGCGAGUUAAUCUAUCCAUUUAAAUCAUGUCUAAUAGCAUUACAAAUAGAUGAAAACAUUAUCUAACCAAAUAGUUAUAGAAUACGUAUAGCAAGUUUAAAUAAAAACAUGAAUUGCCAUAUUUGUAAAUCUACAUAUGCAAAUUCAAAUCCAACAAUUUGUUUGAUUGCAAAUAUGUCUUCUUAAUCAAAAUAGAAUUUUCUAAUAAUAUUUUGUAGAGUGACACUCUAAGCUAAAAGCCUCAAUGCUAACUUCCCACCAAAUGCAUUCCUUUGAAAACUGCAAUUGUUUUAGAUAGUCAAAUCAACAAAAUAUUAUUAACUUCUUUAGCCAAAUAGUAAUGAUAUGUCCAGUUCUAUGCCUAACAAUCAUCUCAAACUCUAAUUACAUUAUCUAUCAUUAUGGGCAAUAAAAAGGGAUAAGAGUACAAAGUCAUAUAGAACCAGUUUAAGUAAAAGAUUCUGAAAUCUAAUUUUGCACUUCUUUUAUUUCCAAGCUAUCAUUUGCUAAAAUUAAAACCAUGAAAAUAAACUACCUAUUAUGGAUACAAGCUAGUCAUUCAAAAUGUUGAAUGAAGAGAUAUAAAAUAUUAUCUUCACAUUCUAAAUUGCUAGCCCCAACAAUUAUUUUACCCGUCAUCCACCUUAUCCAGUUUAUAAGCACUUUUCACAAUUAAUAAACUUUAUAUAAAUUAAAAUAUAAUUACCUAUCCAUAAAUUAAGAGAUUCUGGUUAAUUUUUAAUUUAAUAGGCAUCAUUUUUUUCUUCCUGAUCAUCGUUUACCUUGGAUUUUCAUUUAUUAGAUUUGUUUCUCCUCUACUAUAGUACUAUCACCCUAUUAUCAAAUAACAAUUUUAAUAAAUAAAAAAUUAGAAUUAGAAUGAAUCUGCAUAAUGGUGUUAUUUAUUUUAUGAGGGAAAAGUAGUUACAAUUCUUUCAUUGUUAGCCUAAAAAUUCUUCAUGUAAUCACCACCCGUCUUGUUGUUAGCCUUUUCCAAAAAUAAAAAGAUCAAAAAGUAGUUUCAGAAUAAAUAAAAUAUAAAAAACUAAAAAAAAUGUUUCUUUAGAUUUGGGGAAAAAUAUUCACAGCAUCACAUACCUAUUUUGGGCAGAAAAGAAAGUCAGAUGAAGAAGAAAUAGGUGAGAAAAGCAAUAAGCAAAGGUUGCUGAUCAAGACGCAAAAAAUGACAAAAAAAAAUAUCAAAUAGUAUAUACCAAAAAGAGACAUUAAAAGUAGAAGAUCAUGAAUCAUAAUUAUUGGACUAUGGAAGAAUGGAAAUAUCAAACCCAUUCUUGAUCUCCGAUAAUGAAAUCAUUCAUUUAGUUAAUUAUGGACAAAAAUGAAAGAAAAUGCAUCAACUAAUCCAAUAGAGAAAAAAUAGAAUAAAUGAUUAAUUAGGAUGAUAGGGGAAAAAAAUGGAGUACAAAGUGGAAACUAAAUAACAAACCUACAGUGUACAUGAGGAUUUGUUUAAUUAUCUUUAAUCAAAAAAGAGAAAGGAAAUAAAGUGAAUAAAAGAAAAAACAAAGCAAAAUGAAAAAAAGAAAAAGAAUGGGCCAUGUGUCAAAAUGAGAGGGAUCCACUUAGCAAUCAUUGGAGUUGCUAUAGUAACUCUACUCUCUUCUUAUAUAAUAGGUAUAUUAGAUAUAUAUAUAUAUAUAUAUAUAUAAAGAUAUAAAAAACCAAUUAUUCAGGAUAAAAGAAUUUUCGUAAAGAUCAAUUCCUAAUAUGAACAAUUUUCUUUGAUUAGUGGUGACACAAUUAGAAAUUAGCAGGGUCAAAAUAAAUUUCUCAAAAACUCUUUUUCCUAAAACUAGAAUUUUCAUUUUUAAGGAGCUUGCACCUGCCCUAAGUAGACAUAGUGUAGCCCCGCCUCCGCAGAAACGCUUUUCGCUGGUCCAUUGUUCUUGUUCUUCUUUGUUUUGCUGCCUGCAACAGCCGAUUUGUGUAAGAUAUGGCGUUGAACAACGGGAUGAGAUCAUGCGCCUCCAAGCUCCUCACCUCCACCGAAUCACUGCUUUCCAAGUCCAGUAAGCUUCUACUGCAUCUUGUUUUCCUUUCUCCUUUUCUAAGAGAAGAAAUGUUUUAUCUGCAACAUGUCAUGUAAAAUUGCAAUCCUUGUUUCUGUAUGUGAUUUCUUCAGAUCUGCUUAAUGGGUUUCUGAUUUUAUCUAUGGAUUUUUAUGGGUUUUCUGUAUUCCAGGGAGUGUUUUGUCUAUAGCUAGGAUUUUUAUCUUUUCUCGAGUUACCCGGAAAAAAAAAGAAGAAAAGAUUGAAUCUUUUGUUAUGUUGUCUGUGCUUUUGUGCUAUAAUGGAUGGAAUGGACAAAGAAAGCCUGAUAUGAACUGGGAAUUUUUAGGAAAAAGAAGUGGAAUGGUUAAACUUUGCUUGAGUUUGGGAACAAUUGCAGCAGCGCCUUAGGCCGAGCGCUUUCCUCAUGAAAGAAGGGGGGUGGCGUGGUAUUCCACGGAGAGAGGUUACUAGACUUGGCACAUUUUCAAUGCGAUUGGUGCAAAUUUGGUGUUUAUCACGGGGUUUCCAUUACUGCCUUGAUGCUUAGUUAUGCUACCAAAGCGAGGGGAUUGCCCUACAUUUUGAAGUGAAAUAUAGCAUAUUUUUAAUGGAAUUGAGCGUAUCACUAAAUUAUCAAUGAAAUGGUUUGCUUGAGAGAUUAAGAGUUUUUUACGUUUACUGAGGUUGUCAAGUUUGAUGUCUUCUCUUCAAUUUGUUUUCUGAAUAUCUUAAGGAGGAUGGUGUGUGAAGCUUUUUGGAUUCUGGCAGAUGGAGCGUGAACUUGGUUGCUAUUCAGCCCAUUGAAGUCUACUGAAUGAUUUUGGUUUUGAGCUAUGUGCUAAAUUUGAAGUUACGGGGAUGUGGUUACAACCUGGACUUUUAUUUUUUGACUUGGAUAGGGAGCAUAUUUUGGUUAAAUCAAAUACUUUUGUGCUACUGCAAAGGUGUGUGAUUCUUGAGAUAUAUUUCCUGUUCUGUCAUUUUCAUGUACUGGUAACAUUCAGAAAGCAAACAAGGUCUCAUGUCUGCCACUUCAAAACUACAGGAACUUUUGGCUAGUUUUUAUGGUUAAUUGAGAUUCUAAGGGGAAAUUUCAUUGUGAUUCUGUUUGAGAAUGUUAUGAAAUUUUUAAUGCAAUUUUGUAAUACUUCAAUUGAUGUUGUUGUUGGGGAUGGUUUAGACUCUGUAUGACAGUAUGAUAUUCUUGAAUUGGUGCUGUUUCCAUUAUUUUGAAGUUUAUGAUUAGAUGUAGAGUUUCCUGUGGUUUGCUAAAUCUUUGUUACACUUCAGCUUUUGUGAAAACUUGUAUGAUACCCCAUUUGUUUUAAGGUGUUUCUUUGCACCUUUUUAAUGAGCGAAAAUAUUUUGCUAAACUUUUUUUUAUUUUUCAAAUGGUAGAUACUUUUAUUGGUUUAUUACAACGAUGAAGAAGUCUAUUAAGUGACAUCAGUUGAUCUUUUGAUGCUUAGAAAAUUUAGGAGCAAAAAAAGUCAGUUUUUUUUCUGGGGUAAAGAAAUUAUUCCAGUGCCUUAGGCCGAGUGCUUCCCUCGUAAAAGAAGGGGUGGCGUGGUAUUCCACGGAGAGAGGUUAUUAAACGUGGCGCAUUUUCAAUGCGAUGGGCGCAAAUUAAGUGUUCUAUCACAGGGGUUCCAUGGCCGCUUUGCUGCUUAGCUAUGCAACCAAAGCGAGGGGAUUGCCCUACAUUUAAAAAAGUUUCACAAUAUAACUGGAGUGGUAGGAUAGAAUUUCCUUGAUGAAUUGGUUUGCUCAAUUGGUUACCUUAAUGUUCAUGUUUUGUUGGGUAUACAAGUUUAUGCCUAUUCUUAUGAAAACUUGGAAGGGAAAGAGUAUGUGGAAUUUUUUGUUUCUGGCAUAUUUUCGUUUCAAUUUGUGUUGCUGGUAAACCAGUUUAUUCUCUAUUUGAUUCUGACCACUCAAUUCACAUACACUACAUAGCUCUGAAUGGGAACUAGCUGCAUGCUAAAUUCUAAGUCAAAAGUAAAGGGCAAAACCUCGUAUUAUUUCACUUGACCUUCUUCUUCUUCUUCUUCUUCUUCUUUCCUCCACUGUUUUGAAAGAUAUACUUUAAGAUUCUAAGGAACAUGGUUGGCUUGGACUCUCUGUUACACAGUCUUACGAACUUUCAUAUCUCAUUAAUUGCACUGUUUCCUUGCAUCUUGCACUUGAGUUUUGGAUGACAAAGUUGAUCUUUCGAGGUUUUUGUUCUGGCAAAAAUAUUGAUAGAAUAUGAUAUUCUUACAUUCCUCUUGAUCUCCUAAAUUACAAAGUUGACAAGUAGAUGUAAAUUUGUUGUGAUCUGCUAAGUCUUGCUGCAUCUAUAAUUUAUGUGAUGCUGGUAUGGCAUUCCAUUUGCUUUUAGUUGAAGUAUCAACUGUUUUUAGUUUGUCAAAAUAAUAGCUUUUUUGAAAAAGUAGAAAGUAUCAUAUAUUAAUUACUUCAGUUAUGUAGGAAGUUCAUUAAGUUCCAUCAGUAUUUCUGCAGUUGCUGCCAUUUUUCUAGUUCAUCAUAUAUGUUUUUCUUUUUCUUUUUUCUGAAUGUGUCUUUUGUUGAAAGUAUAAUGAAUUUGUACUACAUUGGAACUUUUACUUUCAAUUUGCAUCGGAGGAAAGGAGUGCAAUAAUCUGAUUUUCUUACCGAAUAAAUUUUGAAAUAUAACCUGUAUUUCCAUAAUGGAACAAAUUUGGGAUAGACUGUUCCACAAGUUGAUCCGGUUAGUUGAACUAUGCACAUUUUGAAGUAGAUGUUUUGGGUGUGUCUGACAUUGUUAUGUGGCAAGUUUUCUUAUUGGACCCAUUCUGGUGAUAUAAUCUUGGUGCAACUGUGCAAAACUUUUGUUAAUGAUCUUCUUACUCCUCUUAGAUAAUCUGUGUGCAACUGUGCAUAAUACUGGUAUCCUGGUGUUGUGAUAGACUUGUCUUUGGAAACCGUUUAGUGCAAUGUGAGUCAUGGAUCUUGAAGGUGGUGGUUAGACAUGGAAAUUAAGAAACUUGAUGGCAUAUGGGUAAACAGUGAUGUUGAAUAAGGUUAAGGCUUCGUUCGUACCAAACCUCAAACUCUGUCCCUCCCCUCCAUGCCUACUCAGUCUUCCUUCCACCUCUUGCCCUUUCCUCACCUUCACCUCCUAUCGAAUUCAAUCCUUCUGCCUCUAUAGGCCUCUUACAAUGCCUUUUUGUCCCCACUUCCCCCUCUUUCUCCUUCCUCACCUAGACCUCCAAUCUGAAUCAGUUCCUUUUGCCUCUAUUCAGGACAUUGGCAUGUAAGGCAUUUUUUUGUCUACUGUUAUGCAGUUUUGCUGAUUUGUUGGAACUGCUCUACCGCCUCAGCAAGUUAAAUGACUUUGCUUUGAAGUGAUCUGACAUCCUCCUUGUCUCGUUGACCUCCCUGUGUUAUGUUUUAUCAUCCAUCCUAACCCUCCUAUUGGCUAGUUUGUAGGUGUUGUAUGUUGUAGGAAUAAGAUAGGAGAUGCAGAUGCGGAGGAGGAGAAAAUUGCAGAAAGAAAUAGAACAGUUCAAUACCUCUAGAAAGAGGGUAUCAGUUAUAUUUGUCUAGGCAGGGAAGAGAACAGUUCUAUUCCUCCUGGAGUUUUUUUUUUUUUUGAGGAAAAGCAAUAUAUCCUUGCACCUUCUUUUUCAUCUUAAAUAGUAAGGUGUUUUGUGUUCGUGUUAGCGUCAAUAGUUUAUCUGAAAAGGAACUGGAACUUAUCUUCUCGUUAUCACAAGCAAAAUCUCGAGAGGUUAAGCUAUUAGUGAUUACUGCUUUCUUUUUGGUCGUACAUCUUUGUUGUGAUGAUAUGCCUGGUGACGUUUCUUUCCUUUGUUGUUUACUCAUUUGUUGCUUGUGAUGUUGAAGUUAAUAACCACUCCUUUUUGGGAAAUGGAUGCUAUAAACUUUUCCUAGCAACCAUGACAAACUACCAUAUUGGCAAAGCACUUUGUUUCUACCUAUUUAGUGUCGUGAUUCUAUGUCAUGUGAGCAUUCCGAGACAAAGUCCCUAGCAACUAUGACAAACUUCAAAGCAAGCUAAGCACUUUGUUCUCUGUGUGAGUCCCAAUUCUUCACGAAAUUUGAGUAUACCUUGAAUCCUUAAGAUUAGCAUUAUUUUACCUCUGUCACUUUGUAAUCUGCAUGAAUUAUGCUUGAAACUUGUAUUUAUGGAACUGUGAAUUCCUUGAUAAAUUGUAGUCUUUGUACAUCAGAACCAAUGAAAUUCAAUCUUGUGACAGCAAACAGAGGGUUCCACUCAAGUGGUGUUAAGAGAAUGGGAGGAGGACAUGCUCAUGGUCAUGAUGAGCCUUAUUACCUUCAUGCUAAGCACAUGUACAACUUGGACAGGAUGAAGAACCAGGGCUUGAAGAUGUCACUUGGAGUUUUCACUGCAUUCAGCAUCGGUGUUGGUGUCCCAGUUUUUGCCGUCAUAUUCCAGCAAAAGAAGACUGCUUCUGGAUAAAUUUUUUUCGCCUUCUCCACCUUCUCUACCUAUGAGGCAAUAAUAGAAGCUACUUUCGCCAAUCCCUCCUUGUGCAGACAGUAGACAUGAAUCUAUUGCUUUCAAGAACUUGACUAUAUUCAUGUUUGCUUUGAUUUUGUCUUGCUUUUUGACAUUGGUAUGGUUCUCGCAUCCUGAUUUUGAAAUAAAUUUUCUGAAAUUAUGCUGCCUUAGACUUGCAGAUUGGUUAACCACAAGUGUUGUUAAUUGGUAAAAAGAAGGUGUAUUUUUGGGUGCAGCCAUAGAAAAAAGUACAAUUGAGAGCCUUAUAGCACCCACAUCUUUUGCUAGUCCUGCAUUCCAGAGAGCCUUUCAGGGCCCAAGUUGUUACCCAGAGGAAUUUUGGUAGACCAUAAAGGGCUGUUGGUCCGAGCAUUAAUGUUAAUAACAACUUUUAUGACUGGAAAAAGAAAACUUUUUCAUGUACAAUGGAAACUGGAAAUUUCUCUUCCUUAUCCCUUUUUGUCUUUUGCUUAAAGAACAAAACAUUGACUUGCUUUUAUGAAAACGAUUUGCAUUAGAGAAAGGUAAGAGAGUCCUGGUAACGUAUAAGCAAUCCACCGGAAAAAUGUUGCUCAGAGGUACACCUGGGUCAAUCCACAGUGGACAAUUUGUCCAAAAUUGUAGAAACUCCUACGUUCAAGUGGGAUUUAAUUAUUUAUCCCAGAAGACAGGAAAAACAAAAUUGAAAAAUUUUAUCCAUGGUUUUUUAUUUUAUUUCUGCAGUAAUAUUUGUUUUACAUACAUACAUACAUACAUACUUUUUUCCUCCCGCAGAGAUGAUGAAAUCAUAGAUUAUGUUUCACACACAGCAUCUUCUACUUUUUGGAGACCUUAUGUAACAGUGACCAUUUGCUAAGGCUUUGUUUGGAUUGUGAUUUUUCACUAAAAAAUUUUACGUUUUCGUAAAUGCAUUUUCUAAUCACCUUUCUAUCUCACAUAUAUCAAAUCGUUAUACUUUUUUUUUUUUACAAAAACUCCUAAAAGCAAACCUUUCUGUAUUUUCCAGUUUAAGGUAUAAAUAGAUCAAAAUUAUCUGUCUUUCUGGAUAAAUUUUUGGGUGGUUUUUCCCUAGAAACAUACAUGACAUUUUUUUCUACCAAAAAGAGACAAGACUAUACUUUUUUAAGUAUGACAUACAAAUUAUGUGUCAUUUUUGUGAAAGAAUCAAGCAAACUGCAAAAAUGUGGAAGAAAUGUUGUCUAAAUUGGGGUAAAAGGAUGAUCGACAACAUAAGAAGCCCAUACACACCUAAUCCCUACCCUGAAAGAAUAUUGGCUGUGGCAUAUAAUGGGCAAGUGGGAGGUCCAAUUAUUGAAGUGAUACCGUGUUCUUCUUUCUGGAGAAUCAAAUACUUUAAAGAUUGGUUGCGUGUGUUAGUGUGGGUUUCUGGAAGAGAAAAUAGUGAAUUUAUAAAGGAAUGGUGAGUAAAUAAAUGUCAAUUUCUAAUUGAAAGGGUGAAACAAACUUCUCUCUCUGUUUCAUUGAUUCUACCCCAGCACUCCACAAUAAACACAAAAUAUCAGCUCAAGAAACUGCUCAGCCCACCAAUACGAGGGACAGAAUUUUCAAAGAUAAUUAAUGUUGUUAGUAGAAUAAUUUGUACCUCACUUCAUUCUUGUUUUUGGGCUGCAAAGAAAUUACUAUUAGCUUAAUUUGAAAAUCAUUUUCAUUUACUUAACCUAAGUGUUUAUAGUAGGAUGCCUUGUUGUUUAGCUUUGUCCUCUAAUUUCCUCGUCUUAACUGAAAAUUUUUGUUUGAAUUGCAAAUUUUUGUGAAAAAAUUUCUUUAUAUUUUUUUAUCACAUUUUUAUGUCGCAUACAUCAUAUCAUAUCGUUCCAGUAUAUAGUUUACAAAAACUCUAAAAAUUUGCAAUCUAAACUGGCAGGAACAUCUUCCGCUGUCUAACAUUUUUCGGACAACCAUAGCUUAAAUUCUACCAAAGCAAUUAUGGCAAAAAUGUUAUUUAAAUGUAAUUUUGAAAACUCAACUCCAACCAUGUCUGUCCCACAGCCCAUUAAGUAGCUAUCCAAGCAUCCAUGGAUCUUGGAUAAUUCAAGGUGUAGGACAGGUGUUAAUUCACACAGAAGUAUCAAGUCAACAACCGAAAAAAAAAAAAAUCUUAUGCUUGUAGCCUAGCUUGGAUUGCUUCCUAUGAAACAAACACAGAAAUAAGAAAAGAAAAGGACCAGAUUGUCAAGAAUCAAAUGCAACCAAUCAUUAAUCCAAUCUCCAUUAUGUACAAAUAUUUUGAAAGCAAAGGAGGUUGGGAAUGACUUCACUCAAUACAACUGUCUAGUGCACUAUCAAGUGGACUUCUUGUUACUCCAAAUUGAAUGUAACCAAAGACCAAUUCAACCAAAUUCUUCUUUUCCAAUUCAAAAGCAACAGCCCCCUUUCCUCCUACUACUCCCAGAACACACUAAUUAG
rnacentral:lncRNA from 1 species